AGUAUAAUAAUAAAAAAUUUAAAAAUGAAAGAGGUGACAUAAUUUUCUUCUUUUUUGUUCCAUAAUGUGUCCUGGUCCAGUUGUGUCCUCAAGCUAAUACUGGCUCCACACAAAACUUUAAAAAUACUCUUAUUUCCCAGCAGUCUGGGAAAUGUUGGUGUUUUUGCUCCUUAAAUGUAUGGAGUAGUCCAUAAAUGAGCUGGGAGUUUUACUUGUGAAACAUUUUUGUUUGUUGGGUUUUUUCCAAGAAUUUGUUCAAUUUGUUUAAUAGACAUAGGAGUUUUUCUAUUUCAUGCUAUGUUUGGGUUAGUUUGGGUACGUUGCUUUGUAAAAUGUGGUGCAUUGUGUUCUCUGUUGUAUUUUUAGACCUACGUAUUUCCUCAGAUCUUCUUAGUUCUUAUGAAGGUCUACAGGCUCUGUAAAGAGUGUGUGUGUUGAUCCCUGAUAUUGGUGGUUUGUGUUGACUCCUCUUGUCUCUCUCUUCAUGCUGAGCUGCCUGGAGUUGGAGGAGGGAGGACGCAAGCACCCCUGUAGCUCCCACCACCGGGACCGUCCUGGGUCGGACGUGAAGCCAGCGCGAUACUGAAUCUUGCUAGAGGCCGGUGGCUAGGACUCAUGGCUACCACAGAUGUUCAUUCAAGACCCAAGCAAGGGCUCUUUCGUCAGCCGGUUCAAGGGUACAUGUGCAAGUUCGUGACAUCAAUAAAUUGCAUGGCAUGGGGAUUUGGUGUGCAGAUAAUUUCAUCACCCAGUGAUUCACAAACCUACCUUCUCAAUCUAGCAGUUUAAUCCCUCACCACAAAACAUUUCAAAAUUUUAGAACUAACACCAGUGAGAACAUGUCAUGGUACUGAAAUCAGGCUUCAGAACAUUUUUGCCUGUCGUUGCAUUUGGCAGGAAGUCAGACAGUGCCGGCAAUGCUGGUUUCUUGUCUGAUUUUGCACUUCUCUGGCAAGCUGCCGCCUCUGAAGAGUUGACUACUGGGGAGUUACUCGCUGAUGGCUCAGCCACUUCCAGAACCUACCCCAAGAGCAAGACUUGAAACCAACUCACACCCUCCAAGCUCCAGAAGCCAUUCAGUGUUUCCAUCUUGGCCGAGUGAGUUCUUGAUUGAAACCCAAUUUGACUUUGACAGUCAUCUAAUGAGAACUCAAAAGUCAUUCCUGGUUCAGCCACAGUCAAAGAACUUGCAGAGCAUUCUCUGACGAGGUCAAGGACGACUGAGAAGAAGGCAGAAAGGUGUUAAAUGGUUUGCAGAAUUGUUGGGAAGGCUGAGCUUCCAGGAGCAGCUCCCAAAGUCUCCACACACGACUGGACCACCAGGGAACCUGCUCCCUCCACCAGGACGGGACUGGGAAACCUGCCACCGCAGUUAUCAGCACCAGAAGGAUCUUGUCUCUGCCAAGUCUCUGUCCACAUAGUGAAUGCCCCGUGCCCUGCCUCUCUGUCCCUGACUCAGGUCCCACUCCAGGUCUUGCCCACAUCUUUCUGAUUGGUGGAACUUAGAUCACACCCAAAAUCCCAGCUGCAGGAGAGCUCUGAGAUUUCGUCUUUCCAGCCUCCGUGUGCUACAUGGGGGUUGGAGCACUUGCUGACAAGCCCUGCAACCACCAUUGACAGGAUGUCCUCCACCUUUUCAAUCUGAUUUGCUCAUUGCCAUGCAGAACUGUGGGUGAAGAGCCGGAGUCCUCCAAGAUAAAUGUUUCUGGCCAGUGACCUGGUGUCUGUGUUAAUUGAACAUCUCCAACGCCCUCGGAGUCCAAAACCACCGUGAAGUCACUUAUCAAGUCAUUUGACUUGGGAUGCCCAGGUGGAGCCGGACUGAAUAUUUCUGUCCAUAAGACUGUUAGAAUCCCCCAGAGUGGGAUACCAACCAGUGAGGACCUCACGAGCAGCUGCUGUCUCUGCAGUCAGAUAGAUGAGCCUCAGAAAUAACCACUGCUUGUGGUUUACUGUGUAUUCCUCUAGAUGUUUUUCUUUACACAUAUUAGUGAGUGUGGAGAGAGUGUGUGUGUUUUGUAAAUUUGAUUACACUGUGCGUUUAUUCUGACAUCCAUUUCACUUUGUGGUUGGAACGUAAGCUCUGUGAGGGCAGAGAUUUUUGUUUGUUGUGCUUGCUGUUAUAGCUCUUGUCUGUAUAACAGUGGCUGGCACAUGGUCACAUCACAGUAGAAGCUCAAUAAAUAUUUGUUGAAUGAAUGAAAAAAUACAUCCAAGACAUCUUCAGAUUUCAA